rnacentral:rRNA from 1 species
AUGGGUUUUGGUCGAAAUGGCGUAACAGCAUCUUGUUACUUUCGCCCAAGGAUGGGACUGCGGCCGAUCAGGCUGUUGGUGAGGUAAAGGCUCACCAAACCAGUAACCGGUACGGGCUUUGAGAGAAGGAGCCCGGAGAUGGACACUGAGACAAGGGUCCAGGUCCUACGGGGCGCAGCAGGCGCGAAACCUUCGCAAUGCGCGCAAGCGCGACGAGGUUAUUCUGAGUGAUUUCCGCUGAGGAAAUCUUUUCUUAGAUCUAAAAAGUCUGGGGAAUAAGGGGAGGGCAAGUCUGGUGUCAGCCGCCGCGGUAAUACCAGCUCCUCGAGUGGUCAGGGCGUUUAUUGGGCCUAAAGCAUCCGUAGCCGGCUCAUUAGGUCUCCUGUUAAAUCCAACGGCUCAACCGUUGGUCUGCAGGAGAUACCGAUGGGCUAGGAGGCGGGAGAGGCGGACGGUACUCCGAGGGUAGGGGUAAAAUCCUUUGAUCCCCGGAAGACCACCAGUGGCGAAGGCGGUCCGCCAGAACGCGCUCGACGGUGAGGGAUGAAAGCUGGGGGAGCGAACCGGAUUAGAUACCCGGGUAGUCCCAGCUGUAAACGAUGCGAGCUAGGUGACACAUGGCCUUCGGGGCCUUGUGGUGCCGCAGGGAAGCCGUUA